rnacentral:rRNA from 1 species
AUACGGAGGAUGCGAGCGUUAUCCGGAUUUAUUGGGUUUAAAGGGAGCGUAGGUGGGAUAUUAAGUCAGCUGUGAAAGUUUGGGGCUCAACCUUAAAAUUGCAGUUGAUACUGGUUUCCUUGAGUACGGUACAGGUGGGCGGAAUUCGUGGUGUAGCGGUGAAAUGCUUAGAUAUCACGAAGAACUCCGAUCGCGAAGGCAGCUCACCGGGCCGGAACUGACACUGAUGCUCGAAAGUGCGGGUAUCAAACAGGAUUAGAUACCCUGGUAGUCCGCACAGUAAACGAUGAAUACUCGCUGUUUGCGAUACACGGUAAGCGGCCAAGCGAAAGCGUUAAGUAUUCCACCUGGGGAGUACGCCGGCAACGGUGAAACUCAAAUGAAUUGGCGGGG